ensembl:lncRNA
ACACUUGACAAAGGAAACUGCUCCAGAGAAAGAGGACAGGAUUGAGAAGGAUGGUCCCUGUGAGACACGCCAUUCCUGAUCAGACACUGCUUCACAAACUUGAAAGCUUGAGAAGAUUCCAAAGCAUCAGUCCCCAGCCUCUACACCAACAAGGAAAUGUUAACCAACAAAACAACCUGAUAUAUCCAACUCUGGAGCCCAAAUGCUAUGGGCCACUGAACACCAAGAGGCAGCGGGCCGGCUGAUCAUUUGGCAAAGCGGCCUGAUCUCAUGGUUUUACCCCUAAGGAAGCCAGCAUGUGGCUACUGACCCACCCACCACAGGAAUCCAGGGGCUAAAUGCCUAAGCCAACGGCCCAGGUUCUCAAGAGGCCAGGCAGGGUGAGGGACCACAAUAAUUCCUCAGCAGCAACCACUACCAUGUUGUAAAAUAACAUAGCUUUGUGUUCCCCAAUAAAAUCAUUAAAUCGCAUUCUUUGAAAGUUUUGUUUAGUCCUUUUAUAAAAAUAUGAGGCGCGCCUGAUUUUCAUACCCACAAGCUCAGAUCUGCAAAUAUUAGAGAUUUUUUUU